rnacentral:lncRNA from 1 species
CUUUAUUUUGAUGAAGAAAUUUUAAAACUUUUCUACUGAACCGGAAUAAUAAAGCAAUAACUCUUGGAUCGAACAUCAAAAUUAUAAACCGAAACCUCAAAUCGACAUCAGAAAGCUCGAACUAAAAUGACCUCAAUGAAAGCCCAUCUUCUCUUAUUGACGACUAACAGUCAAUUAGACGACUGGCAGUAUUGUUGACACUAUAACUAGAAACAAUUUGGUUGGCGUAUGAUGUGGAAACUGAAACUAAUCUUGAAACAGGCUUAUCCAAGCGUCUAUGUGAUUACUCAUGAAUCAUGAUAGAAAAGCAAUUGUUGCAAAAAUCGUCACAAGAAGAACUAAUGAUUCACAUUUAAAAGGUAGCUUGAGAAGCCGAAUAGGGAAUGGAAAGAAGUAGAGGAGUUCAUAUACAUCUACAUUCCUCUGUGAAUACGAUUGUUUACUCGAGAAGUGCUCUUCUUUUGGGACUUCAAUCCAGCUGCC